CGAGCGCGCCCCCGCGGCGCGCGUCACGCAUCAGACCUCUAAUCGGGAAAGACUACCCGCUGAGUUUAA
rnacentral:rRNA from 1 species